rnacentral:rRNA from 1 species
UGUGUACAAGGCCCGGGAACGUAUUCACCGCGGCAUGCUGAUCCGCGAUUACUAGCGAUUCCAGCUUCACGCAGUCGAGUUGCAGACUGCGAUCCGAACUGAGAACAGAUUUAUGGGAUUGGCUAAACCUUGCGGUCUCGCAGCCCUUUGUUCUGUCCAUUGUAGCACGUGUGUAGCCCAGGUCAUAAGGGGCAUGAUGAUUUGACGUCAUCCCCACCUUCCUCCGGUUUGUCACCGGCAGUCACCUUAGAGUGCCCAACUAAAUGCUGGCAACUAAGAUCAAGGGUUGCGCUCGUUGCGGGACUUAACCCAACAUCUCACGACACGAGCUGACGACAACCAUGCACCACCUGUCACUCUGUCCCCGAAGGGAAAGCCCUAUCUCUAGGGUUGUCAGAGGAUGUCAAGACCUGGUAAGGUUCUUCGCGUUGCUUCGAAUUAAACCACAUGCUCCACCGCUUGUGCGGGCCCCCGUCAAUUCCUUUGAGUUUCAGUCUUGCGACCGUACUCCCCAGGCGGAGUGCUUAAUGCGUUAGCUGCAGCACUAAGGGGCGGAAACCCCCUAACACUUAGCACUCAUCGUUUACGGCGUGGACUACCAGGGUAUCUAAUCCUGUUCGCUCCCCACGCUUUCGCUCCUCAGCGUCAGUUACAGACCAGAGAGUCGCCUUCGCCACUGGUGUUCCUCCACAUCUCUACGCAUUUCACCGCUACACGUGGAAUUCCACUCUCCUCUUCUGCACUCAAGUUUCCCAGUUUCCAAUGACCCUCCCCGGUUGAGCCGGGGGCUUUCACAUCAGACUUAAGAAACCGCCUGCGAGCCCUUUACGCCCAAUAAUUCCGGACAACGCUUGCCACCUACGUAUUACCGCGGCUGCUGGCACGUAGUUAGCCGUGGCUUUCUGGUUAGGUACCGUCAAGGUGCGAGCAGUUACUCUCGCACUUGUUCUUCCCUAACAACAGAGCUUUACGAUCCGAAAACCUUCAUCACUCACGCGGCGUUGCUCCGUCAGACUUUCGUCCAUUGCGGAAGAUCCCUACUGCUGCUUCCCGU